GACGAACGCUGGCGGCGUGCUUAACACAUGCAAGUCGAACGGAAAGGCCCUGCUUUUGUGGGGUGCUCGAGUGGCGAACGGGUGAGUAACACGUGAGUAACCUGCCCUUGACUUUGGGAUAACUUCAGGAAACUGGGGCUAAUACCGGAUAGGAGCUCCUGCUGCAUGGUGGGGGUUGGAAAGUUUCGGCGGUUGGGGAUGGACUCGCGGCUUAUCAGCUUGUUGGUGGGGUAGUGGCUUACCAAGGCUUUGACGGGUAGCCGGCCUGAGAGGGUGACCGGCCACAUUGGGACUGAGAUACGGGCCAGACUCAUACGGGAGGAAGCAGUGGAGAAUAUUGCACAAUGGGCGGAAGCAUGAUGCAGCAACGCCGCGUGCGGGAUGACGGCUUUCGGGUUGUAAACCGCUUUCGCCUGUGACGAAGCGUGAGUGACGGUAAUGGGUAAAGAAGCACCGGCUAACUACGUG
rnacentral:rRNA from 1 species